GCUGAUUUGUAAAGAAAAAAACGCGACCACAGGAGGAGCACGGGCUCGCCUCCUCUGCCUCUCGCGAAGUCCCACGAAGUCAUCGCCGCCGCCGCCGCCACCUACGCCGGCCACUUCCGGCUACCUCCGGCGCUGCGCAGCGCGCGCCCGAGCUCCCCACGGUCCGCGCCUCCCUCCCCUCCGGCCAGAUUCUCCGCUCCCGUCCUCUACCGCUUGCUCACAACGGGAGCCCCCGAUGCGACCUCCCCUGCUGCGUCACCGCUCCCCAAUGGCCGCGCCGCCCAAGGAUUCUCGCCAGGGCCUCGCGCAGCCGCACCCUUCCCCUUCACGCGCCCACCAUGCCAUCGUUUCUAUGGGUGCUCAAAUCCAUGGCUCUGGCGGCAAGCCGUAGGCCGGAUGAGCCGGCAGCGUACAGAGAAGGGGACGGAGGUGGAGGUGGAGGUGGAGGUGGCGGCGGCGGCGGCGGUGCAGGUGGAUGGGGACAAAUUCGACUACAACAUAGAGGAUUGUCGCCGCAGGUUCCAGGCCGUCUACCCUGGUGAAUCGUUCAAGCACGACGCCUAGGGUUCCCCAUCGCUAUCCUUUGGUUCGCCUCUGGUGUCUGCCACGACGUUCCAAUCGCCAGAGUCAGAGCUCCACUAUCGUCCAGUCCUCGACUUUGGGCCGUCUCUCAUCAAUUCUAGCCAUUAGAGCACUGCACCAACAAAGGGAACCCGGGAGCAGCUCCUCGCGAAAAUCCUCCAUCGCAUCGAAUUUUUGAGUUCUUCCAGAACUUCGGCGAGAUUGCUUCUGCACUGUUCGUCACAGGAUAGUCGAUACUUCCUUUUUCCAAUGUAUUGCACGGUCGAGGUCUCUACCAAGGAUACCCUCCCUAGGGUGUUCCGCAACUUCGUGGACUGCGUCUGCUCGCCCAACGCCAGUGGAGAUCCGCUGCUGCAACACCUCAAGGAAGCGUCCUGCAACACGGCGCAACGGCCGCAGGAUUGUCCUUCAGGAACUCGGCACCUGGACCUAGGCAGGGCAACGUCGUCUGUGCUAUCCUUGUCAUCCUGGGGCGAUCGGCAAUAUCAAUGGAUGAUACUUUGAAGGCUGUUGCAUCUAGACUUGUGCAGGUCCAUGCUUCCUUUUUUCGAAGUCUGCGUGGUCGGGGUCUAUGGCAAGGGCGCCCUCCCUGGGGUAUUCCGCAACUUCAAGGACUGCAUCUGCUCGCCCGACGCCAGUGGAGAUCCGCUGCUGCAACGCGUCAAGGAAGCGUCCUGCACGGCGUAGCGGCCGCGGGGUCAUCCUUCAGGAACUUAGCGUGCGACCUGCUCACCUAGACUUGGUGGGGCAGCGGCGUCUGUGCUAUCCUCGUCAUCCUGGCGAGCCAUACUUUUCCCAUCCAUCUGUUUGGAAACGGAAAAGCUGUAUUACUUCGUUCGUUCGUCUAUCUGGAGGUCCUAGAAAUUGAGGCAUGUUGGAUGCAGUAUUGGCGGCUGGAUUAAUUGUGCUCAGCACCACCAAUGUUUUUCUUGAAAACAUGUUUGCAUGCUUCUGUACAGUUAAAUGAUGUGCUUGCUUGUUACAUAGUUGUUUUUAACUACCUUUCUGGGUGUUAUCUAAGCGUAAGUUUUCUCUCAAAUUCAGGGGCGAUCGGCUAUAUCAACGGAUGAUUCUUUGAAGGUUGUUGCAUCCAGGUAAUUUUGACCUAGCAGGACCAAUUAGUGUGGAGAUGAUGCUUGUUAGGUACAAGCUGACAAAUAGUCGAACACCAUGCUAUGUUGUUCAUUAAUCUGUUUUUGCAAGUAAACUGGAGCUGGUUCUUUAUAGUUGCAGAUUUUGUAGCUUGCAAGAUUACUAGAAGUUGAAACAAAUUAUCUGUAUGUGAUGGAUCGGAGAAAGUUUAUCAAUCAAAACUGCAUGGACUGGAGAAAGUAUAUUAAUUGGCAAAACAAAUUAAUCAAAGAUAGGUAACCCUUGUAUUAGUUUCCGGAUUGAAAAUUCAUCAGAGGUCUCUAUUCAAGGCAAACAUACACAAACCAAACCAGAGCAAGAGCACAUGGAAUUGUGUGGCAAGCCGUUCCUAUCUUAGUAACAUAGUGUUGUUUCCUUCCUGUACAUAUGUUUUUUCCGUUCUGCUCAUUGGUUUUCUGUUGCUUUUCUCCUUAAACUUCCAAGCGUGUAUUUUUUUGGAUAAUAUAUGUGUUAGAAUUGUAUACACAUCCUUUAGUAUUUGAACUACUUAUAUAUUGCUAGAUCUUCUAUGAUCUACGGUGAAGAUGAGUACAUCCCUUACAUCUCAGUGUUUCACACUUUCUAUUUUACGAGGAUAUACCAAGGAAAUGCUCUUAUUGGUACAACCGUACAGGUUAUUUACACUGUUUUUCUUAAACGAAAUCAGUAUAAUUGGGUGUUGAUUUAUAUCAUCUUCUUUUCCUGAGAUUGGUCAUCCUUUGUUUUUUCUAUGCCUUAUUUAUCUCCGUUAAUUUAACAUUUUAUUAUAUUGAUUUCAUGUUGUUGUGUUGGUCUAGGUUCUUAACCUGAUCAGAAUGCUUAUAUUUGUUGAUGACACUGAGACUAUACUAAGUCUCCUGAGAGAGUUCGGAUCAUAUAAUACCGAAAAAGACAUUGAUUUUAGUAGUCAUGCACAAGUAGAUGAAUCAGUAGAAAUCUUAUUUUUCUUUACCUUGUAUGCACAUCCCAAUAUCACUUGAAACUAGAAGAACGCCUGUGCGUUGCAAUGGGGCCACAUUAACUUUAAGAGUUCAAUAUUAAUCAUGUUAAUAAUACAUUUAAUAUUCUCAUACAUAUCAAGUGACACUGGCGACCUUUUUUGUCAAUUUAGCAACGGGCUUAGUUGCAACGGGUUCUUUAUACGUAUCAGACAACUCGCUAUUACUUAAACUACAACUAUGGCUACCAAUAUUUUUUUUGUCAAUUUAGCUCAGCAAUAGUGCCUGGCUUAAUAGACUGCUUUGCAUUCAUCCCUUCAGAAGAUAGAGAGAACCAAUUCAACAUGUCAGAAGAUUAACAGAAAUUUCAUUUGUAUGGCAUGAACAUAUAGCAGGAGCACCAACACAUAGAUCAGCAAAGAGCAGAGCACAGCAUGCACACACUCGGGCCAUCUAUAUCAUACACACACAGCAACGCACACACGCAUCACGCUGGCAUACACAUACAGAAAAGCAGGCACAAACGCAUCAUGCGCAUUGGCCGGUGCGACGCACGCAGAGCAAGUACGUACGCACGGAGAGCAAGCUAGCAAGCACGCACGCGUCCAACCCCGCCGCUGCAUGCGCUGGCAGAAGGUGAGGCAGCAAGGGAGACUGCACAUUGAAGCUGUCCAUGUAAGGCUGGAGGUGCUGGGCCGGCGACGGCGGUGUCGGGACGACGCUUGAUUCGUUCCCGGUGGCGUGGAGCUUGGGGCGGCAACGCGGCGAUAGCUAGUGCUCGGGGAUGGGGGUUUGGGGCGGGGGCAGUCGACCCGAUGGCUGGCGAAGUUAACGGGCUCGGGCGGCUGGAAAUUCGGUGGGUGGCGGUGGCACAACGCGAGGAUGGGACAGGCGUAAAACCCAGCGGGCGUUCAACUACAAUACCCACGCCUUUUUUUAGGGGAAUUGCUUGUGAAAAUAACGUGCGACGACGACUUAGCGAGCGGAUCCCCUUAAAAAAGACAUAGCGAGCAGAUUCCUUUAAAACUGGUAGGAAUGGAUACGAUUGAUGACGUUGAUAAAUAGUGGUGAAUGUUGGCCUAAUUUACUAUCAUCAUGCAUGGAAACGAAUCAUCAAGAAAAAGAAUACUUCCUAUUACUACACUCAUAGGAAGCUUCCUAAUCUCUGCUACCAAACAGUUUCUGCCCAAACAAGGAAGGAAAGUUAUGGAUGUGAUUCGGAAGGAAACAAACGUUAUGAAGAUUAAUUAAUUUAGAUUUGAUCUUUAGAGAUUGAUUGUGAUUGAUUCUUUUACAUAAAGAAAUUACUAAAUAAUUUGUGUCAGUAUGGAAAGUUCUGAUCCGUUUAGUUUUUUUCGUUGUGUGAGAGGGUGAAGUGAAAAUAAACCGAUGAAGUGGGGGAGGCGACGAAAAAAAUCUACGACGGUUAACCUACGAAAAAAAACCGGACGGAAGUGGUGGGACGAAAAAAAACCUGGAAGCGAGACUACCAACUGCUCCAUUAAGAAUAGAAAUUAAUUUAGAGUUUUCCUCUUAUAUGAACAAGUAACUGCACAUCUGGUUUUCUUAUGCUGUAAAACACCAUCGAAGCGACCACGAUACUCGCUUGAAAUAGGUCAUCAUAAAUAUUGUUAGGGUACGUCCAAAUUUCAAAGUCAAAAGAAAUAUUCAGUGUAACCUUAUUUCUGAUGUUUCAAAUAAUUGGAUUAAAAACUGUUGCAUAAUGGCACUAGAGCAGGUUAUAUUUAUUUUUUCUCCCGGGCAUUUCUACUAGUACCCAACUAAAACGCCCUCGUUCUCCGAGACUCCCGCAGUCUCCUGAGUCCUGAUCCUCUCCCAAAAACAAACCCACCCUCGUUCUCCAAAACGGAUCGAAGGUCCAUCGUCGCCUGCUUCCGCUCCGAUGGGUGCCAGGCGUCCGUUUGCUUCCACUCUGACGGGUGCCCCAGGCGUUCCUCUGCUUCCUCUGGGAUGGCGGAUCAGUCGGCAUGCAACGUUCACAGUGGGGCGCCAAGAAUUAGAUGGACAAGUCAUCUGUGAAGCAGCAGGUAGAAGGCUACCUGGCAGUGCCUCCAGGGAUUCGCUGUACAAUACAUGUCACCACAGCUAUGUCGAUGAAGACUCAAAGUGAUGCUUUCAUUAUAUCACUUGCCAAGUUUACAUCACUUCACUCUGCUGCGUAUGUAUAGCAGAAAAUUAUUGAAGUAUUUAAGGUCCGUUCUUUGUAUCUUGUAUGAAUAAUCUCUUGUAGGUUAAUUGGCUUGCAGCAAGGUUGAAACCCCACUCUGUAGUUUCUCUUCAGAUCUUGCAGUAGCAAAGCAAGGGAAUGUGAUGCAAGACUGGAGAGUGGCAAAGUGGCAGAUGACAUCUAUGUGGAGGGUGAUGAUGAUCCAUGUGGCAAUGAGCAAUAUGAUAACUAGGGCGAUGACGGUGAUGAACUCGACGUUCUCUUCAAGUAAUGCAACAAAGAGAAGUUCUAAAGUUUGUGGAAAAUUUAGCUUAUGUAAAAUCUUUGUACAAGUUACUACUUUGUUUUGUAUUUGACAAUUUUAAGAUGGAUCAUAAUGGUCAAUGUAAUUUGGAUGCAACUAAUUAGGCCUAUGAUACUUUCCGAGGUUAUCCUAAAUAAAUAUAUAUUAUGGUCUUUUGUGAUG